rnacentral:rRNA from 2 species
CGAGGCGAACCGGGGAAACUGAAACAUCUCAGUACCCCGAGGAAAAGAAAUCAACCGAGAUUCCCCCAGUAGCGGCGAGCGAACAGGGAGCAGCCCAGAGUCAACAUCAAUAUUUACCGCAGGAGAAAGAUCUGGAAAGGCCGGCAAUAAAGGGUGAUAGCCCCGUAUCUGAAGCGGUAAGUGUUGUGAACUCGAAGAGUAAGGCGGGACACGUGUUAUCCUGUCUGAAUAUGGGGGGACCAUCCUCCAAGGCUAAAUACUCCUGACUGACCGAUAGUGAACCAGUACCGUGAGGGAAAGGCGAAAAGAACCCCGGCGAGAGGAGUGAAAUAGAACCUGAAACCGUGUACGUACAAGCAGUAGGAGCACCCGAAAAGGUGUGACUGCGUACCUUUUGUAUAAUGGGUCAGCGACUUAUAUUCUGUAGCAAGGUUAACCGCAUAGGGGAGCCGUAGGGAAACCGAGUCUUAACUGGGCGUUAAGUUGCAGGGUAUAGACCCGAAACCCGGUGAUCUAGCCAUGGGCAGGUUGAAG